GUAGUCCACGCCCUAAACGAUGUCAACUGGUUGUUGGGGAUUAAUUUCUUCAGUAACGAAGCUAACGCGUGAAGUUGACCGCCUGGGGAGUACGGCCGCAAGGUUGAAACUCAAAGGAAUUGACGGGACCCGCACAAGCGGUGGAUGAUGUGGUUUAAUCGAUGCAACGCGAAAAACCUUCCCACCUUUGACAUGUACGGAACUUGCCAGAGAUGGCUUGGUGCUCGAAAGAGAACCGUAACACAGGUGCUGCAUGGCUGUCGUCAGCUCGUGUCGUGAGA
rnacentral:rRNA from 1 species